GCCAGAAUGGUGUAGUGGUUUGAGCACUGGACUAGGACACUGGGAAACCCGGGUUCGAAUCCCCAUUCAGUCA